AAACUCAAAUGAAUUGACGGGGACCCGCACAAGCGGUGGAUGAUGUGGAUUAAUUCGAUGCAACGCGAAAACCUUACCUACGCUUGACAUGCCAGGAACUUUCCAGAGAUGGAUUGGUGCCCGAAAGGGAACCUGGACACAGGUGCUGCAUGGCUGUCGUCAGCUCGUGUCGUGAGAUGUUGGGUUAAGUCCCGCAACGAGCGCAACCCUUAUCCUUAGUUGCUACGCAAGGGCACUCUAAGGAGACUGCCGGUGACAAACCGGAGGAAGGUGGGGAUGACGUCAAGUCCUCAUGGCCCUUAUGUGUAGGGCUUCACACGUCAUACAAUGGUCGGUACAGAGGGUCGCCAACCCGCGAGGGGAGCCAAUCCCAGAAACCGAUCGUAGUCCGGAUUGCAGUCUGCAACUCGACUGCAUGAAGUCGGAAUCGCUAGUAAUCGCGGAUCAGCAUGUCGCGUGAAUACGUUCCCGGGUCUUGUAC
rnacentral:rRNA from 1 species